AAGGCUGACCGCUGCCCACGAGGAGGUCCCCGAAGCGCUUGUUGGGAGCACAGGGCUGACCGCUGCCCACGAGGAGGUCCCCGAAGUGCUUGUUGGGAGCACAGGGCUGACCGCUGCCCAUGAGGAGGUCCCCGAAGCGCUUGUUGGGAGCACAGGGCUGAC